rnacentral:rRNA from 1 species
CCUACGGGUGGCAGCAGUGGGGAAUAUUGCACAAUGGGGGAAACCCUGAUGCAGCGACGCCGCGUGAGCGAUGAAGUAUUUCGGUAUGUAAAGCUCUAUCAGCAGGGAAGAAAAUUACGGUACCUGACUAAGACGCCCCGGCUAACUCCGUGCCAGCAGCCGCGGUAAGACGUAGGGGGCAAGCGUUAUCCGGAUUUACUGGGUGUAAAGGGAGCGUAGACGGCGGUGCAAGCCAGAUGUGAAAGCCCGGGGCUCAACCCCGGGACUGCAUUUGGAACUGGAUAGCUGGAGUGUCGGAGAGGCAGGCGGAAUUCCUAGUGUAGCGGUGAAAUGCGUAGAUAUUAGGAGGAACACCAGUGGCGAAGGCGGCCUGCUGGACGAUGACUGACGUUGAGGCUCGAAAGCGUGGGGAGCAAACAGGAUUAGAUACCCGAGUAGUC